CCUACGGGAGGCUGCAGUGGGGAAUAUUGGGCAAUGGAGGCAACUCUUACCCAGCAAUGCCGCGUGAAUGAAGAAGGCUUUCGGGUUGUAAACUUCUUUUCUCAGGGACGAAGCAAGUGACGGUACCUGAGGAAUAAGCCACGGCUAACUACGUGCCAGCAGCCGCGGUAAUACGUAGGUGGCAAGCGUUAUCCGGAUUUACUGGGUGUAAAGGGCGUGUAGGCGGGGACGCAAGUCAGAUGUGAAAACCAUGGGCUCAACCUGUGGCCUGCAUUUGAAACUGUGUUUCUUGAGUACUGGAGAGGCAGACGGAAUUCCUAGUGUAGCGGUGAAAUGCGUAGAUAUUAGGCGGAACACCAGUGGCGAAGGCGGUCUGCUGGACAGCAACUGACGCUGAGGCGCGAAAGCGUGGGGAACAAACAGGAUUAGAUACCCUGGUAGUC
rnacentral:rRNA from 1 species